rnacentral:lncRNA from 1 species
AAACAAAUGUACCAUCGUGAUGUUUUAACCUCUUCUUUAACAGGCUAUGUUACAAUGCACGCCAUAAGAGAGGACCGCAGUGCUGUCAUCUGUCCUAAACUCCAACUGGACGCUGGUCGAGCCAGCACAGACUGCUGCCAUGUUACUACAAACGGUGAGCUAGUCACCUCGCCGCCCGCCACAACACAGGGGCCGUGGCAGACUACAGGAAUUGAGGGGCACGUGUAGCUCCACCCACCAUCCCCUUCCUCCAUCCCCCUCUAGUGUCACUCCUGUCCCCCACACAACACGAUACUGGGAGACCAACACCAGGGUGGGUGUUAAGCGUGGAGUGUGGUGGGGUCCUGUCCUGGAGGUAGGUGUGGUGGAGAAGAGCCAGGUAGACAGUGAGGUGUGUGUUUCUUACCAGCUCUGGCUCCUGGUGUGUGUCAGUGUAGGGGCUGUGACACACACCGGCGGAGUCUCUGUACCAGGGUGUGUCUGGACUGGGAGGAGGAGAAGUGUUACAGAAACACAAUGUCUGCCACACCCGGCACACAGGCCACCCUCCACUAUGGCGUUGUGUUGGAUGUCGGGAGGGGUAGAAUAGGAUUUAUUGACGUGGACAGGUCGGUUGUUUUAGGGAAAGUUGAUGUCGAGUUCAAGGAGAAUCUUCUCCCUGUUUUGCUGUUUGUCCGGACAGUGACCAUGUCACAGUAAACAUGAAGGUGGUCAGUGGGGAGAGAUCCUCAUGUCUGACAUCAAGAAAUAUCUCAUUAAUGAAGUCCUGGCCUAAGAAAUAAACUAAACAUGACCCAGUGUAAACUUGUAAAAUAUCACACAUCUACUUUAUCAGACAAAUUCAAUACAACAGAACUGAAAGAAGCGGACAUAGAAGUUACCUGUUCAUGUGUUGUAUGUUGUGUACAACAAUGUAACAAGGUUA